CCUACGGGAGGCAGCAGUAGGGAAUCUUCCACAAUGGGCGAAAGCCUGAUGGAGCAACGCCGCGUGGGUGAAGAAGGUCUUCGGAUCGUAAAACCCUGUUGAUAGAGAAGAAAGUGCGUGAGAGUAACUGUUCACGUUUCGACGGUAUCUAACCAGAAAGCCACGGCUAACUACGUGCCCGCAGCCGCGGUAAUACGUAGGUGGCAAGCGUUAUCCGGAUUUAUUGGGCGUAAAGGGAACGCAGGCGGGCGUUUAAGUCGGAUGUGAAAGCCUUCGGCUUAACCGGAGUAGUGCAUUGGAGACUGGGAGACUUGAGUGCAGAAGAGGAGAGUGGAAUGCGAUGUGUAGCGGUGAAAUGCGUAGAUAUAUGGAAGAACACCAGUGGCGAAAGCGGCUCUCUGGUCUGUAACUGACGCUGAUGUUCGAAAGCGUGGGUAGCAAACAGGAUUAGAUACCCCAGUAGUC
rnacentral:rRNA from 1 species